rnacentral:rRNA from 1 species
CGGCAGCACGGACUUCGGUCUGGUGGCGAGUGGCGAACGGGUGAGUAAUAUAUCGGAACGUACCCAAGAGUGGGGGAUAACGUAGCGAAAGUUACGCUAAUACCGCAUACGAUCUAUGGAUGAAAGCGGGGGAUCGCAAGACCUCGUGCUCCUGGAGCGGCCGAUAUCUGAUUAGCUAGUUGGUGGGGUAAAGGCCCACCAAGGCAUCGAUCAGUAGCUGGUCUGAGAGGACGACCAGCCACACUGGAACUGAGACACGGUCCAGACUCCUA